rnacentral:rRNA from 1 species
AGUAAAAGUCGUAACAAGGUCUCCGUAGGUGAACCUGCGGAGGGAUCAUUACAAGUGACCCCGGUCUAACCACCGGGAUGUUCAUAACCCUUUGUUGUCCGACUCUGUUGCCUCCGGGGCGACCCUGCCUUCGGGCGGGGGCUCCGGGUGGACACUUCAAACUCUUGCGUAACUUUGCAGUCUGAGUAAACUUAAUUAAUAAAUUAAAACUUUUAACAACGGAUCUCUUGGUUCUGGCAUCGAUGAAGAACGCAGCGAAAUGCGAUAAGUAAUGUGAAUUGCAGAAUUCAGUGAAUCAUCGAAUCUUUGAACGCACAUUGCGCCCCCUGGUAUUCCGGGGGGCAUGCCUGUUCGAGCGUCAUUUCACCACUCAAGCCUCGCUUGGUAUUGGGCAACGCGGUCCGCCGCGUGCCUCAAAUCGACCGGCUGGGUCUUCUGUCCCCUAAGCGUUGUGGAAACUAUUCGCUAAAGGGUGUUCGGGAGGCUACGCCGUAAAACAACCCCAUUUCUAAGGUUGACCUCGGAUCAGGUAGGGAUACCCGCUGAACUUAAGCAUAUCAAUAAGCGGAGGAAAAGAAACCAACAGGGAUUGCCUCAGUAACG